CAGUAGCCGCGGGAAAACGUAGGUGGCAAGCGUUGUCCGGAAUUAUUGGGCGUAAAGCGCGCGCAGGCGGAUAGGUCAGUCUGUCUUAAAAGUUCGGGGCUUAACCCCGUGAUGGGAUGGAAACUGCCAAUCUAGAGUAUCGGAGAGGAAAGUGGAAUUCCUAGUGUAGCGGUGAAAUGCGUAGAUAUUGGGAAGGACACCAGUGGCGAAGGCGGCUUUCUGGACUGCAACUGACGCUGAGGCUCGAAAGCCAGGGGAGCGAACGGGAUUAGAUACCCCGGUAGUCCCUGUCUCUUAUACA
rnacentral:rRNA from 1 species